UGGUUUUAACAUCAGAGACUGAUUUAUGAUUUGAUUAGGUUUGUAAAUGCACGUAUAUUUAAUCAGACAGUCUCACUUGGAUAAAUAAAUAAAUGUAAAUAUUGGAAAGAGAUUUGUAAGAACAUCAGCAAUGAACUGCCAAAGACUGAUCGGGAUAUCUAUUGUUGAAAUAAAAAUACACUCCUAUUCACAUGCAGUGUGCGCGGACAGAAAUUACGAAGAAGAAGAAGAAGCGACGGUAGGAUCUCGCGCAUGCGCGCAUCACGACUGUCUCCUCUCAAAGUCACUGACGUCACAGCGGAAGUAGUGGAUUCGUGCUGAAUUGAAGCAUGUGUGUAUACAGCGCCGUAAACUGGAUCAACAACAUAUAACUGUUACAGUAUUUCAGCUAAUAUACAGUUUAUAGAAGAGGUGGUGGCGCCAUGGCACCUACAUUACUCCCGUCUCUGCUUGGGUCACUGACUCGGCAGCUGUCUUGGGCUGUGCGGUAUGCGUCUGUCGCCUGUCUUCCUGCUACUGGAGCACGUCGCUGCAUUUCCACCAUCACCUCUGCUAUGGUUCAGGCCAGAGGAAGAUUUCAGGCCCAGCACAAUCCUUUCCGAGCACCGUUACUUGGACAGAACCAGCAGUUUGUAGCUCUGCAGCCUUCGAUGGGCAUGAAAACCAAAACAGCUCUGAAGAAACGUUGUAAAGACUGCUUUUUUGUCCGUCGCCGAGGGCGACUGUUUGUAUUUUGCAAGAGCCACCCGAGGCACAAACAGCGGCAAGGGUGAAUCUGUUCUGAAGCUUUUCUGAACAACGUAUUCUCUGUAAUAAUAAAGCCAAGUGUGUCACUUGAA